AGCUCUGCUGCUCCCGAUCCGUGCAAUCUGACGCCCUGCUGCUCCACCGACGCCUUCACUCGCCGGUCACUGCUCGAUCUGCAACAGCAGUGACCCAACGACCCUGCAACUUCGUUUUCAGCCGAGAUCCGACGACACCGGAGCCCUGCUGCUCCCGACCCGGCAACCUCCAAGUCUCUGUGCCCCACCAGCAGCACCGGACGCCAGAAGUCCCGACUCCGACGCCUCUGUUCAGGAAACCUCCAUCGCCCGCGACGCUGCCACAGCCGCCGCGCUUGCGCCUCCGCCUGUCCGAUCCAACCGCGCCGGACGCCCAGAGACCUGUGCCUCCGCCUCUGCCAGCGCCUGACGCUUGCCGACUCCCCUCGCCGGAGCCCCGAACCAGCUGCCAAGUUUUGCCUGGAAGGGGAAAGAAAAAAACAAAAGAAAAAA
rnacentral:lncRNA from 1 species